UACGUAGGGUGCGAGCGUUAAUCGGAAUUACUGGGCGUAAAGUGUGCGCAGGCGGCCGAGCAAGUCGAGUGUGAAAGCCCCAAGCUUAACUUGGGAACUGCGCUCGAAACUACUUGGCUAGAGUGUGGCAGAGGGAGGUGGAAUUCCACGUGUAGCGGUGAAAUGCGUAGAGAUGUGGAGGAACACCGAUGGCGAAGGCAGCCUCCUGGGCCAACACUGACGCUCAUGCACGAAAGCGUGGGGAGCAAACAGG
rnacentral:rRNA from 1 species